rnacentral:lncRNA from 1 species
CAACAGGUGUGUCGGAGUUUCAGGUGUGCCGGGGAGUUUCUACUGUGUUUAGCAAGGCGAGAUCUUCUGAUGAAGCUGUAAGUUUGCAGGUUUCGUUUUGGUACUUGAAAUGCAAAGUGGGGCUCAUUUCCACCCACAGGAAUGAGUUCCUGUAAGUCUAGUAAGACGCAGGAGGUGUCCAGCUAUCUCAGAGACCAGCAUGCUUCUCAGAAACUACCUCUGGCUAGAGCAGAGGCGGUCCUGCACACAGUAGCAAGAAGCAAGUACCACGAGUUAGAAUUUCAUAUUUUGGGAGAUGGUGUCUUGUGUUUCCCCCUGAACACUCUUUGAUGUACCAGGCUGCUGAGAUCGACAAGUCGCAACCGGACUGAACCUGGAGCAGCUCCUCUGAGUGCUCAUGCCUGUUUAAAAGAAUGGGACAAUACUGAAGGUCAUAAUCUGAGACUCUUGGACUUCACACUCCGUAAAGGUAAACUGAUAGGUAUGGUGUGUGUGAAAGGGCUCCUGAGGUCUUACCCCAAAGGAGAGCAAUCUGGAAAGCCCAGAGGAUUACCCUUGUGAUAAGUGCACAAGCAUGAUGACUGGGGAUGUGGAGGUGGAGAGACAGG